GUACCGGGCGUUGGUUGUCCCGGGGAAAGGAGGUAGGUGGAUCCCUUAGGCAAAUCCGGGGGGUCAUACACCGAGCACCGAGACGAGGUCUUCGGACCGAAGUCACUGAGUCCACGCUUCCAGGAAAAGCCUCUAAGCUUCAGCUCACGAAGACCGUACCGCAAACCGACACAGGUAGGCAGGGUGAGAAUCCCAAGGCGCUUGAGAGAACUCGGGUGAAGGAACUAGGCAACAUAGCACCGUAACUUCGGGAGAAGGUGCACCCAAGAGUGUGGCUACAUGCGUAGCUGAGCACUCCUGGGUCGCAGGGACCAGGCCGCUGCGACUGUUUAUCAAAAACACAGCACUCUGCAAACACGAAAGUGGACGUAUAGGGUGUGACGCCUGCCCGGUGCCGGAAGGUUAAUUGAUGGGGUCAGCGCAAGCGAAGCUCUUGAUCGAAGCCCCGGUAAACGGCGGCCGUAACAAUAACGGUCCUAAGGUAGCGAAAUUCCUUGUCGGGUAAGUUCCGACCUGCACGAAUGGCGUAACGACAGCGGCGCUGUCUCCACCCGAGACUCAGUGAAAUUGAAAUCGCUGUGAAGAUGCAGCGUUCCCGCGGCAAGACGGAAAGACCCCGUGAACCUUUACUAUAGCUUUACAUUGAACGUUGAGUUCGUCUGUGUAGGAUAGGUGGGAGCCUUUGAAGUUUGGGCGCUAGCUCAGAUGGAGGCAACCUUGAAAUACCACCCUGAUGUGCUUGACGUUCUAACCUCGGCCCGUUAUCCGGGUCAGGGACCAUGUAUGGUGGGUAGUUUGACUGGGGCGGUCUCCUCCCAAAGAGUAACGGAGGAGCUCGAAGGUACGCUCAGCGCGGUCGGACAUCGCGCACUGUGUGCAAAGGCAUAAGCGUGCUUGACUGCAAGAUCGACGGAUCAAGCAGGUAGGAAACUAGGACUUAGUGAUCCGGUGGUUCUGUAUGGAAGGGCCAUCGCUCAACGGAUAAAAGGUACUCCGGGGAUAACAGGCUGAUACCGCCCAAGAGUUCAUAUCGACGGCGGUGUUUGGCACCUCGAUGUCGGCUCAUCGCAUCCUGGGGCUGUAGUCGGUCCCAAGGGUAUGGCUGUUCGCCAUUUAAAGCGGUACGCGAGCUGGGUUCAGAACGUCGUGAGACAGUUCGGUCCCUAUCUGUCGUGGGCGUUGGAGGUUUGAGAGGGGCUGCUCCUAGUACGAGAGGACCGGAGUGGACGUAUCUCUGGUGUUCCGGUUGUCACGCCAGUGGCACUGCCGGGUAGCUAUAUACGGAAGAGAUAACCGCUGAAAGCAUCUAAGCGGGAAACUCGCCUCAAGAUGAGACCUCCCGGGGCACAAGCCCCCUAAAGGAACGAUGAAGACUACGUCGUUGAUAGGCUGGGUGUGUACAACCGCAAGGUUUAGCUAACCAGUACUAAUGAUCCGUGUGGCUUGAUC
rnacentral:rRNA from 1 species